UACGUAGGGAGCAAGCGUUGUUCGGAUUUACUGGGCGUAAAGGGUGCGUAGGUGGCGCCGUAAGUCAGGUGUGAAAUCUCGGGGCUCAACCCCGAAACUGCACUUGAUACUGCGGUGCUCGAGUACUGGAGAGGAGAUUGGAAUUUACGGUGUAGCAGUGAAAUGCGUAGAUAUCGUAAGGAAGACCAGUGGCGAAGGCGACUUACUGGACACAUAUUGACGCUGAGGUGCGAAAGCGUGGGGAGCAAACAGG
rnacentral:rRNA from 1 species